UACGAGGGGAGCAAGCGUUGUUCGGAUUUACUGGGCGUAAAGGGCGCGUAGGCGGCCACCGCAAGUCGACUGUGAAAUCCCCGGGCUUAACCUGGGAACUGCAUUUGUGACUGCACGGCUAGAGUGUGUCAGAGGGGGGUAGAAUUCCACGUGUAGCAGUGAAAUGCGUAGAUAUGUGGAGGAAUACCGAUGGCGAAGGCAGCCCCCUGGGAUAACACUGACGCCUCAUGCACGAAAGCGUGGGGAGCAAACAGG
rnacentral:rRNA from 1 species